GCUCCCCGAUGUUGCCCGCACGAUGCCAACACCUGCACAGAGUGGUUGCAUACCCGGGCGCACACGGCGCCGGGUGCCCAGGACCUGCUUCAGGGCUCGGAGGAGGCACCUGCCUUCCCACUCUUCCCUCUUCAGUCUCUAGGGAGCAAGACCGUCCUCCACCAGGUCUCUCCCGCCUGACGCUCGCCGCUGGGCGCGCACCUGUCUUGGCUUUCUCAGGGGCACCAUGGGCCGGGAUGCGCAAGGAGCUGCCCACGCACCCCACAAUCCUACAUUCCUCAGGCUGGCACCCUGCUGGCCGGAGGUUCCAGAUGUUCCACCCAGAUGGGGGCUUUUUGAGGCGUCAGGCUGCACGCAGAGCGGGAUCCUAAGCUCCAUUUCUACAUGGGGAAACCGAGGCGCACCACCACCCAGGUCUUACCCUGGUUCCAGCCACCAUCCUCUUUCAUCUGGAUUUCUGCAAUAGCCUCCUGACUGGUCUCCCUGCUUCCACCCUUGGCCCCCUGCAGUUGAUUCUCUACACAGCAGUCAGAGCCAUCCUUUUAAAACAAUUCAAGGUAACUCUAGCACUAAGCUCUCAGAACAAGUCUUCAGGAAGCUUUUCCUGAUGGUAGACUCUUACGGACCCCAUGGCCAAUGACCUUAGUGUCAUUGUUAAGCAAAUGCACACAUGAGAUUCAUGGAGCUGAUUUUGAUGAGGUCUCUUGACAAAAGCUGGGCAUCAUCCCACAUCUAAAUUGGUAAAGGUUCCAAAGGUCAUUUACACCUGUUGUCUAAUUUGCUCCUGAUAAUCACCUGUAAGUAAGAUCAGGCAUUUUUACAGGAGUUCACCAAUUCCAGGGCAGAGCAUUUGGGGCAGUGGCCAGAGGAGUCUAGAGCAUGAGCAAGCCCAGAAAAAACAAAACAAAACAAACAAAAAAGAAAAACGAAGCGCCUCGUGUUAAGGAGUUUGGAUUUUUGUCUUGAGGGCAACGACAGAAGGAUUUUAAGCUGGGAACUUGUGUCGUAUGAGGACAACUCUGACUGCCAGUAUGAAGAAUGGACUGGAGAGAUAAGAAUGGCAGAAGGGAGAAAAUUUUAGGGUGAUUCAGGUGAAAAAGCAUGGCUGCCUGGAUUAGGAGGUUGGCACUGGAGAUGGAAGGAAGUGAACAGAGUUGACAGAUAAAAAAGUGGAAUUGACAGGGCUUGCUGGUUGGCUGACGGUGGAGGGUGAGGGAAGGUUUUAGGAUGAGGGCAGGGUUUCUGACUUGGGCAACAAGGUGAGGUGCGGCACUCUACAUUGUAGGUAAAGGCUAGCUGAGGAGCCAUUUGGGGGUGGGACAUGAGAGCUCAGUUUUAGACGUGUGGUGUUUGAAGUUCCAGUAUGACAGGGACAGGGAGGGAUAGCGACGUGUGUGGACCUUUUGCCUCCAGGCCCUGUGAUCUACCCAGAAUGCCUUGCUAAGUGAGAGCCUCCGUCUGUAAAGACCACUCAGAAACCCAGAGACUGCCAGAUAAACUUGGAAAUCCCCUACUUCAUCCCCUUCACAUUUCAGAUGAGAAAACAGAGGCCAGAGAAAAACUAUUCCUGGAAGUGGUUGGCUGAGCUAAACCCAGAGCACGGGGCUUCCCAGAAGCCCCCUUCCCUGCCAUCCCAUAGUACUCCAGUCCAGAGGGCACACACCAAACACUUGUGGCUCAAUCCAGACUCCAGAAGGGCUCUGUUUGGACUGCAACUAAAUCAAACUACUUGUCAUCAUUAAA